AUUGAACGCUGGCGGCAGGCCUAACACAUGCAAGUCGAACGAGUGGCGGACAGGUGAGUAAUGUCUGGGAAACUGCCCGAUAGAGGGGGAUAACUACUGGAAACGGUAGCUAAUACCGCAUUCCAUCGGAUGUCCCCCGAUGGGAUUAGCUUGUAGGUGAGGUACCGGCUAACCAAGGCGACGAUCCCUAGCUGGUCUGAGAGGAUGACCAGCCACACUGGAACUAGGACACGGUCCAGAACGCUAGGGAAGGCAGCAGUGGGGAAUAUUGCACAAUGGGCGCAAGCCUGAUGCAGCCAUGCCGCGUGUAUGAAGAAGGCCUUCGGGUUGUAAAGUACUUUCGGCGGGGAGGCGUUACCCGAAGAAGAAGCACCGGCUAACUACGUGACAGCAGCCGCGGUAAUAC
rnacentral:rRNA from 1 species